AGCUGAUCCAAGUGCAGUGAUGUUUACAAUUAGUUGAUUACAACCAGUUACAGAUUUCAUUAUUCCUUCUCCAGUCCCGCUGUUUCACUUCACUAGCCUAAA
ensembl:Y_RNA Y_RNA Y RNA